GUUCAAGCCGCCGCGGUAAUACGAAGGGGGCUAGCGUUGCUCGGAAUCACUGGGCGUAAAGGGUGCGUAGGCGGGUUUUUAAGUCAGAGGUGAAAUCCUGGAGCUCAACUCCAGAACUGCCUUUGAUACUGAGAAUCUUGAGUACGGGAGAGGUGAGUGGAACUGCGAGUGUAGAGGUGAAAUUCGUAGAUAUUCGCAAGAACACCAGUGGCGAAGGCGGCUCACUGGCCCGUAACUGACGCUGAGGCACGAAAGCGUGGGGAGCAAACAGGAUUAGAAACCCUGGUAGUCC
rnacentral:rRNA from 1 species